rnacentral:lncRNA from 13 species
AGCCCACUGAACAACUAAAUAUUGCUAAGUUGUUCCUCUGUGACCUCAGCCCAGGCCAUUGUCUUCCUGGAAUGCUCACCUUUAACUCUCUAUUCGCCUCCUACACUGGGCCUUUGUAUUCCAGGGUAACUUCCUCCCACCCUCUCCUUGAACCUCUCCCCUCCUGGCUGGGAUCACCCAAUCCUCUGGGCUUGGCCUCCACUGCACGGGUGGCCUGAAGUGUAAAGUGACUUUGAGUGCAGGGCCUGGCCUGGAGUCAGCACUUGGGAAACUAGCUCCCUGGAGGUUGUGAUACCUGGUGCAGAGAAAGCCCAGUGGACACUUGAACGAAGAAGACCUGAAUUCUGGUACUAACUCUGCUGAUCUCAUUAGCUGUGUGACCCUGGACAACAUCGUGAACCUCUCUGAGCCUUUACUUCAGCCUUUUUAGUUCUAGGAACUCAUCUGGAGUAUACGUGCAGGUCACAGAGGCUACCAUGCUGUCCAUGGCACAGUCAGCUGAAAACACCUUACAGACAGGAGUGCUCAGACCACAUCAGAGGGAAUCAGGAAAAGACAUCACAAAGCUGGAGAAUCCUGAGAGGGGAUUUGGAAGACAAGUUGGAGGUCUUCAGAGUGGAAGGGCUUGCAGGCAGUCGAGUUGAGUCAGAGAAGAGAAUACACAUAUAUUUAUUCUAAAAAAGGAACAGACUUCAUUGAACGUCCACCGGAGCCAGUAAAAAAGAGUGAUGUGUUGGGUAUCUGGAAGAAGAAAGGAAAGGAAGCCGGAGAUUAAGUGCAGCAAGAGGCAUUUUAAUGCUCCUAGUAACUGAUUUAUAAAUUCCGUGUUCAGACUCCGCUCAUUUGAUUCUUUGCCGUGAAUGCAGCAUCUCCAUUUUUCCACUUUAUAGUCCUGGCGGGAAAUGGCCUUUUUCGGAGCUGCCACUUAAAGCGCUUAACUGUGCCG